rnacentral:rRNA from 1 species
GUGCCAGCCGCCGCGGUAAUACGGAGGGGGUUAGCGUUGUUCGGAAUUACUGGGCGUAAAGCGCACGUAGGCGGAUUGGAAAGUUGGGGGUGAAAUCCCGGGGCUCAACCUCGGAACUGCCUCCAAAACUAUCAGUCUGGAGUUCGAGAGAGGUGAGUGGAAUUCCGAGUGUAGAGGUGAAAUUCGUAGAUAUUCGGAAGAACACCAGUGGCGAAGGCGGCUCACUGGCUCGAUACUGACGCUGAGGUGCGAAAGUGUGGGUAGCAAACAGGAUUAGAAACCCGAGUAGUCC